UACGUAGGUGGCAAGCGUUGUCCGGAUUUACUGGGCGUAAAGAGCGCGCAGGCGGUCGGAUAAGUCGAAUGUGAAAGCCCCCGGCUCAACUGGGGAGGGUCAUUCGAUACUGUUCGACUCGAAGGCAGGAGAGGGAAGCGGAAUUCCCGGUGUAGUGGUGAAAUGCGUAGAUAUCGGGAGGAACACCAGUGGCGAAGGCGGGUCUCUGGGCAGUAACUGACGCUGAGGAGCGAAAGCGUGGGGAGCGAACAGG
rnacentral:rRNA from 1 species